rnacentral:rRNA from 1 species
UACCGACUGCUCUUCUGCCACCUAAGAGAUUAGGCGUUCCCUUCGGGGACAGAAUGACAGGUGGUGCAUGGUUGUCGUCAGCUCGUGUCGUGAGAUGUUGGGUUAAGUCCCGCAACGAGCGCAACCCUUAUUACUAGUUGCCAGCAUUCAGUUGGGCACUCUAGUGAGACUGCCGGUGACAAACCGGAGGAAGGUGGGGACGACGUCAAAUCAUCAUGCCCCUUAUGACCUGGGCUACACACGUGCUACAAUGGAUGGUACAACGAGUCGCGAAACCGCGAGGUUUAGCUAAUCUCUUAAAACCAUUCUCAGUUCGGACUGUAGGCUGCAACUCGCCUACACGAAGUCGGAAUCGCUAGUAAUCGCGGAUCAGCAUGCCGCGGUGAAUACGUUCCCGGGUCUGAAA